rnacentral:rRNA from 1 species
AGAGUUUGAUCCUGGCUCAGGAUGAACGCUGGCGGUAUGCUUAACACAUGCAAGUCGAACGGUCUCUUCGGAGAUAGUGACGGACGGGUGAGUAACGCGUGAGAAUCUGCCUCUAGGUCGGGGACAACAGUUGGAAACGACUGCUAAUCCCGGAUGAGCCGGAAGGUAAAAGAUUUAUUGCCUAGAGAAGAGCUCGCGUCCGAUUAGUUAGUUGGUGGGGUAAUGGCCUACCAAGACAGCGAUCGGUAGCCGGUCUGAGAGGACGAUCAGCCACACUGGGACUGAGACACGGCCCAGACUCCUACGGGAGGCAGCAGUGGGGAAUUUUCCGCAAUGGGCGAAAGCCUGACGGAGCAAUACCGCGUGCGGGAGGAAGGCCCUUGGGUCGUAAACCGCUUUUAUCAGGGAAGAAGUUCUGACGGUACCUGAUGAAAAAGCCUCGGCUAACUCCGUGCCAGCAGCCGCGGUAAUACGGAGGAGGCAAGCGUUAUCCGGAAUUAUUGGGCGUAAAGCGUCCGCAGGUGGUAUUGUAAGUCUGCUGUCAAAGACAGAAGCUCAACUUCUGAAAGGCAGUGGAAACUGCAAAACUAGAGUACAGUAGGGGUAGAGGGAAUUCCCAGUGUAGCGGUGAAAUGCGUAGAGAUUGGGAAGAACACCGGUGGCGAAGGCGCUCUGCUGGGCUGUAACUGACACUGAGGGACGAAAGCUAGGGGAGCGAAUGGGAUUAGAUACCCCAGUAGUCCUAGCCGUAAACGAUGGAAACUAGGCGUGGCUUGUAUCGACCCGAGCCGUGCCGAAGCUAACGCGUUAAGUUUCCCGCUUGGGGAGUACGCACGCAAGUGUGAAACUCAAAGGAAUUGACGGGGGCCCGCACAAGCGGUGGAGUAUGUGGUUUAAUUCGAUGCAACGCGAAGAACCUUACCAAGGCUUGACAUCUGGCGAAUCUCGAUGAAAGUUGAGAGUGCCUUAGGGAACGCCAAGACAGGUGGUGCAUGGCUGUCGUCAGCUCGUGUCGUGAGAUGUUGGGUUAAGUCCCGCAACGAGCGCAACCCUCGUCCUUAGUUGCUAGCGAUUAGAUCGCGCACUCUAGGGAGACUGCCGGGGACAACUCGGAGGAAGGUGGGGAUGACGUCAAGUCAGCAUGCCCCUUACGCCUUGGGCUACACACGUACUACAAUGGUCGAGACAAAGGGCAGCAAACCGGCGACGGCAAGCGAAUCCCACAAACUCGGUCACAGUUCGGAUUGCAGGCUGAAACUCGCCUGCAUGAAGUAGGAAUCGCUAGUAAUCGCAGGUCAGCAUACUGCGGUGAAUCCGUUCCCGGGCCUUGUACACACCGCCCGUCACACCAUGGAAGCUGGCAACAUCCGAAGUCGUUACUCCAACCGUUCGCGGAGGAGGGCGCCGAAGGUGGGGCUAGUGACUGGGGUGAAGUCGUAACAAGGUAACC